rnacentral:lncRNA from 1 species
CCAGAAACGCCGAAUGGGUUGGGCGUCUGCGGCCGAGCGGCCUGGGGGUCCGCGCCGGGACAAGUGUGGGCCCCGAGAGGCGGAGAAUCGAGAAGGGGGGCCGUGCCACCCACCUCUUCCCCAUGCCCAGAGAUCUCUACAGCAUCCAUGCUGUGAUCCCUACAGCUGACCGGCACAUGGAGACAGAACCAGCUCCAGGAAGAUGUUCAAUAGCCAGGUGCCCACCCAGAGCAGGAAUCUGGUGGGAGGCCACUGGCUGUUAACAAGACAAUUGCUUUAAUAAAGCUUCUUUACAGGUGUGUAUCAAAAGUGAACAUUUUAUAAAAGGGAAA